GGGGAAUUAUCUUUGACCUCCUCCCUGUACUUGUUUACAGAAAUAAACUCUCUUCUUUCCCAGUUUGUCUGCAUCUUGUUAUUGGGCCACAAGAACACACAGCCAGACCCAGUUUGGUCCAGGAACAACAUCUGGCAAGCUAGCCAAGAGUCACUGAAAUGGUGCUGCACUCAGUGGCCCGUGAUUGUGGCGAGAUGGUCAUUUGGAGACUCCCAGAAGCUGCUGGAUAAGAUUGUCCUGGGGACUCUCCCAGGGGCUAUUCCAUGUGCAAAAACCACAUGUCCCUCUCACCACUGGGGAAGAAUGGUGAUCAGGCAGGAGUGGAUGCACUCAAAGGGAAAAGUCUUUCUCUAGGACCUGGAAAUGAUUGCUCGGAAAUGUAAACAGCAAAAAAGUUAGAGCCCUAUCGCACAGCUUGCUCCAAGUUUCAAAAUUACCUUCUGUCCCUCCUGGACUUGGGACCAUUAUUUUUCCUUCAGAUAUGCCAGUCAGCAACCACAGAUGGCCUCCCCAAUUACCAGACUCACUCAGACAUUGCUGCCUUCUCCAGCCUCUUUAAACUUUAAAGGCCAGCAGAGAAUGCUAUGUUUCAGGAUGGUGAUUGGUGGUUUUCACUUUGGACCAUAAGCAUCCGUAUUGUGGUAAGAGUGUUGGGUUGAGUGACUCAGUGCUGUGCCUGCUUUCUCCACCUGAGUGCUACUGAUGAUGGGUCUGGGGGAGCAGCAUGAGCAUUAACAGGGGACUUACUAAAAAUAGGAAGAAUAGGAAGAUACAGACAAAUAUUUCUUAUUUGUCUCACGUGUAUGAGGAAUCUAAAAGGUUGAACUCCUAGACGCAGGGAGUACAAAGGUGGAUACCAGAGCCAAGAGGUAGGGAAAAUGGAAGAUGUUGUUUAAAGGGUACAAACUUUUAGUUAUAAAUAAGGUUCGUGAAUCUAAUAUAUAGCAUCAUGAUUAUAGUAGAUAAUAAUGUUUUUGUAUACUUGAUACAAUAAAGGAAACUAUGUAAGAUGAUACAUGUAUUCAUUAACUUCAUUGAAUUAAUUAUUUCACAACUGGCA
rnacentral:lncRNA from 10 species